AAAUCCUGAGAUGUGAUGCCGAGCCGAUUGUGGCGAAGUGGGUGAUCCUAUGCUGCCGAGAAAAGCCUCUAGUGAGUGUCGUGGCGGCCCGUACCCCAAACCGACUCAGGUGGUCAGGUAGAGAAUACCAAGGCGAUCGGGUGAACUGUGGUUAAGGAACUCGGCAAAUUGCCCCCGUAACUUCGGGAGAAGGGGGGCCUCCGCUGGUGAUCAGACUUGCUUUGUGAGCUGGUGGGGGUCGCAGAGGCCAGGGGGAAGCGACUGUUUACUAAAAACACAGGUCCGUGCGAAGUCGUAAGACGAUGUAUACGGACUGACGCCUGCCCGGUGCUGGAACGUUAAGGGGACCGGUUAGCGCAUCUUCGGGUGUGCGAGGCUGAGAACUUAAGCGCCAGUAAACGGCGGUGGUAACUAUAACCAUCCUAAGGUAGCGAAAUUCCUUGUCGGGUAAGUUCCGACCUGCACGAAUGGCGUAACGACUUCCCCGCUGUCUCAACCGCAGACCCGGCGAAAUUGCACUACGAGUAAAGAUGCUCGUUACGCGCAGCAGGACGGAAAGACCCCGGGACCUUCACUACAGCUUGACAUUGGCGUUUGGAACGUCUUGUGUAGGAUAGGUGGGAGACUGUGAAGCUGUCACGCUAGUGGUGGUGGAGUCAUUGGUGAAAUACCACUCUGGUCGUUUUGAACGUCUAACUUCGGUCCGUGAUCCGGAUCAGGGACAGUGUCUGGUGGGUAGUUUAACUGGGGCGGUUGCCUCCUAAAGAGUAACGGAGGCGCCCAAAGGUUCCCUCAGCCUGGUUGGUAAUCAGGUGUCGAGUGUAAGUGCACAAGGGAGCUUGACUGUGAGACCGACGGGUCGAGCAGGAGCGAAAGCUGGGACUAGUGAUCCGGCGGUGGCAUGUGGAAGCGCCGUCGCUCAACGGCUAAAAGGUACCCCGGGGAUAACAGGCUGAUCUUCCCCAAGAGUCCAUAUCGACGGGAUGGUUUGGCACCUCGAUGUCGGCUCGUCGCAUCCUGGGGCUGGAGUAGGUCCCAAGGGUUGGGCUGUUCGCCCAUUAAAGCGGUACGCGAGCUGGGUUUAGAACGUCGCGAGACAGUUCGGUCCCUAUCCGCUGCGCUCGCAGGAGACUUGAAAGGAGCUGUCCCUAGUACGAGAGGACCGGGACGGACGAACCUCUGGUGUGCCAGUUGUUCCGCCAGGAGCAUGGCUGGUUGGCUACGUUCGGAAGGGAUAACCGCUGAAAGCAUCUAAGCGGGAAGCUCGCCUUGAGAUGAGGUCUCCCACCACGAGAGUGGGUAAGGCCCCCGGGAGACGACCGGGUUGAUAGGCCGGAGGUGGAAGCAUGGUAACGUGUGGAGCUGACCGGUACUAAUAGGCCGAGGACUUGACCUC
rnacentral:rRNA from 1 species